rnacentral:rRNA from 1 species
CUACGGGAUGCUCCAGUGGGGAAUUUUGCGCAAUGGGCGAAAGCCUGACGCAGCAAUACCGCGUGAGUGAAGAAGGCCUUUGGGUCGUAAAGCUCUUUUCUGGGGGAAGAUAGUGACGGUACCCCAGGAAUAAGCACCGGCUAACUCCGUGCCAGCAGCCGCGGGUAAUACGGAGGGUGCAAGCGUUGUUCGGAUUUACUGGGCGUAAAGGGCACGUAGGCGGCACAGCAAGUUAAGGGUGAAAUCCCGGGGCUCAACUCCGGAACUGCUCUUAAAACUGCUGAGCUAGAGAUAGUCAGAGGCGGGUGGAAUUCCUGGUGUAGAGGUGAAAUUCGUAGAUAUCAGGAGGAACACCGGUGGCGAAGGCGGCCCGCUGGGGCUAUUCUGACGCUAAGGUGCGAAAGCGUGGGGAGCGAACGGGAUUAGAUACCCCCGUAGUC